rnacentral:rRNA from 1 species
AUUGAACGCUGGCGGUAUGCUUAACACAUGCAAGUCGAACGGCAGCAUAGAGAAGCUUGCUUCUCUGAUGGCGAGUGGCGGACGGGUGAGUAAUGCGUAGGAAUCUGCCUAGAGGAUUGGGAUAGCCUGUGGAAACGCAGGAUAAUACCGAAUAAGCCCUACGGGGGAAAGCAGGGGACCAGUAAUGGCCUUGCGUCUUUAGAUGAGCCUACGUCGGAUUAGUUUGUUGGUGGGGUAAAGGCCUACCAAGACUACGAUCCGUAGCCGUUCUGAGAGGAAGAUCAGCCACACUGGGACUGAGACACGGCCCAG